rnacentral:rRNA from 1 species
CUCUACGGCCAUGCCACCCUGAACAAGCUAGAUCCUGUCUGAUCUCAGAAGCUAAGCAGGGUCAGGCCUGGUUAUUACUUGGAUGGGAGACCACCUAGGAAGACCAGGUGCUGUAGGCU